AGAAUCAACGCUGGCGGCGUGCCUAACACAUGCAAGUCGAACGAGAAAGUGGAGCAAUCCAUGAGUAAAGUGGCGCACGGGUGAGUAACACGUGACUAACCUACCCUCGAGUGGGGAAUAACCUCGGGAAACCGGGCUAACACCGCAUAACAUCUACGGAUCAAAUGCGUAAGCAGCUUGAGGAGGGGUCGCGGCUGAUUAGCUAGUUGGCGGGGUAAUGGCCCACCAAGGCAGUGAUCAGUAGCCGGCCUGAGAGGGCGCACGGCCACACUGGAACUGAAACACGGUCCAGACUCCUACGGGAGGCAGCAGUGGGGAAUUUUGCGCAAUGGGGGAAACCCUGACGCAGCAACGCCGCGUGGAGGAUGAAGCCCCUUGGGGUGUAAACGUCCUUUCGAUCGGGACGAUUAUGACGGUACCGGAUGAAGAAGCACCGGCUAACUCUGUGCCAGCAGCCGC
rnacentral:rRNA from 1 species